AUUAGCUCAGCUGGUAGAGCAUCUGACUUUUAAUCAGAGGGUCAGAGGUUCGAAUCCUCUAU
rnacentral:tRNA from 1 species